CUGGCGGCGUGCUUAACACAUGCAAGUCGAACGGAAAGGCCCUGCUUUUGUGGGGUGCUCGAGUGGCGAACGGGUGAGUAACACGUGAGUAACCUGCCCUUGACUUUGGGAUAACUUCAGGAAACUGGGGCUAAUACCGGAUAGGAGCUCCUGCUGCAUGGUGGGGGUUGGAAAGUUUCGGCGGUUGGGGAUGGACUCGCGGCUUAUCAGCUUGUUGGUGGGGUAGUGGCUUACCAAGGCUUUGACGGGUAGCCGGCCUGAGAGGGUGACCGGCCACAUUGGGACUGAGAUACGGCCCAGACUCCUACGGGAGGCAGCAGUGGGGAAUAUUGCACAAUGGGCGGAAGCCUGAUGCAGCAACGCCGCGUGCGGGAUGACGGCCUUCGGGUUGUAAACCGCUUUCGCCUGUGACGAAGCGUGAGUGACGGUAAUGGGUAAAGAAGCACCGGCUAACUACGUGCCAGCAGCCGCGGUGAUACGUAGGGUGCGAGCGUUGUCCGGAUUUAUUGGGCGUAAAGGGCUCGUAGGUGGUUGAUCGCGUCGGAAGUGUAAUCUUGGGGCUUAACCCUGAGCGUGCUUUCGAUACGGGUUGACUUGAGGAAGGUAGGGGAGAAUGGAAUUCCUGGUGGAGCGGUGGAAUGCGCAGAUAUCAGGAGGAACACCAGUGGCGAAGGCGGUUCUCUGGGCCUUUCCUGACGCUGAGGAGCGAAAGCGUGGGGAGCGAACAGGCUUAGAUACCCUGGUAGUCCACGCUGUAAACGGUGGGUACUAGGUGUGGGGUCCAUUCCACGGGUUCCGUGCCGUAGCUAACGCUUUAAGUACCCCGCCUGGGGAGUACGGCCGCAAGGCUAAAACUCAAAGGAAUUGACGGGGCCCCGCACAAGCGGCGGAGCAUGCGGAUUAAUUCGAUGCAACGCGUAGAACCUUACCUGGGUUUGACAUGGAUCGGGAGUGCUCAGAGAUGGGUGUGCCUCUUUUGGGGUCGGUUCACAGGUGGUGCAUGGCUGUCGUCAGCUCGUGUCGUGAGAUGUUGGGUUAAGUCCCGCAACGAGCGCAACCCUUGUUCACUGUUGCCAGCACGUUAUGGUGGGGACUCAGUGGAGACCGCCGGGGUCAACUCGGAGGAAGGUGGGGAUGACGUCAAGUCAUCAUGCCCCUUAUGUCCAGGGCUUCACGCAUGCUACAAUGGCUGGUACAGAGAGUGGCGAGCCUGUGAGGGUGAGCGAAUCUCGGAAAGCCGGUCUCAGUUCGGAUUGGGGUCUGCAACUCGACCUCAUGAAGUCGGAGUCGCUAGUAAUCGCAGAUCAGCAACGCUGCGGUGAAUACGUUCCCGGGGCUUGUACACACCGCCCGUCAAGUCAUGAAAGUUGGUAACACCCGAAGCCGGUGGCCUAACCGUUGUGGGGGAGCCGUCGAAGGUGGGACUGGUGAUUAGGA
rnacentral:rRNA from 1 species